GGACUAGAAAGCACAUGUUUGGAUAUGUCUGCUGGGACACAGAUGCUUGGAGUCCAUGCCGGGUCCCAUGCUCAGCUGCCAUGAACUUUGCUCUGCCACACCUCUGACAUGAUACUUCUGCCUCGAAGCCAGUUGGAGCCACUGAAUCCCCUGGAACUGUGAGCCAUUUCCUUCUUGAAGGUUUUCCAAUUGCUACAUCUUAUAAGGAUGAAGUCCAGAGUCACACAAAGAAGUUAAGUAGAAGAUACAGGUCUUUUGAUUCCUCAUCAAAUACUAAAGGCGCCCAGUUUGAUGUUACUGAUACUGCAGCCAGCUCCUCCAGCAAAUCAGGAUACCAGCUCACUAGCGACAGUCCAACCAAGCGACCACUUGAGAAUUGAUUGGGGAUGGCUCAUAAAUGUUUCAAGAAUUCUGCUAAAUUCAGAUAAUGUGAUUUUGCUUGAAAUUUAAAUCAGAUUUUAGUCUGUCUGUUAGACAAUAAAGAAGCUCACUUGUCCUGACCUGUCUGAUCUUUCUUUCUCCUCGCUUCCUGGCCAAGAUUCCU